UAUCCGUCGGGGAACCAGCGGAUGGAUCAUUAAAGGAAUGAAUGAGAUUUUGCUGAAAUUUUAGCAAAAAAUCAAACAACAAACAUAAUUGAAUGAUGAAGCUUUUAAAUAUGAAAAGUGAAUUUAUUUUUUUAACGUAAAAACUGAAAUUUAUAAUAUUAAACUCUUUAAUUUUUCCAGAUAUUAUUCUGGUAAAAAUGAAAAGAAAAAAUCAUAGAAAUAACUAUUAACAAUGGAUAUCUUGGUUUUU
rnacentral:misc_RNA from 1 species